rnacentral:lncRNA from 1 species
CCACCAACGAGGCGCCCACCUCCGGCCUGGGCUUCGCCACCGGCCUGGGUGUGAGCGUGUGGGCCACCGCCACCACCCUGGGUCUGUACAAGCUGGGCUUCUCCUUCCCCGGGCACUUCAUCCCUGGUAGGAACGGGCGGGUGCGGGAGCCAACGCAUUGAAGGUUGUGGAGCAGCGGGUUUGUGUUUGCACAGGUCAGCACCGCGUGCGGGGUGUGCCGGGUAUGCACGGCAUGUGCUGGGUGCGUGCACGCCAACACCGAAUGGCAAAACUUGUGCCUGACUAGUUGGUUGUUGUCCUUGCCGACCGCAGGCGGCACCCCCUGGCCCAUGGCCUUCAUCUUCGUGCCCCUGGAGACCAUUUCGUACACCUUCCGUGCUGUUUCCCUGGGUGUCCGUCUGUGGGUCAACAUGCUUGCCGGACACACGCUGCUGCACAUCCUGACGGGUGAGUCGCUGCCGUUCGCACAGCUGCACUGUAAACUACAGAUUAGGUGCGCUCUCUGGGACCCUGCGACGCCACACCUACACCGCCUGCUUUCCAGAACCCACCUGGCUGCCACCCCGCCUCCCCACGCCGUCUCUCUCAACCGGUACUCUUCCUUGCAGGCAUGGCGCUGGCGCUGCCCUUCUCGCUGUCGUUCU